GACGUCGAAUAUCGACGUCAUAAACAACAAAGUUGAUCGUGUUUAUCACGUCGACGUCAUAAACACCAAAGUUGAUGCUGUUUAUGACGUCGAAUAUCGACGUCAUAAACACCAAAGUCGGUCGUGUUUAUGACGUCGAAUAUCGACGAAUUUUAUAAAAAAAUUUAUCUUUUUCCAACCAAAGUUUCCCACCAAAGUUGAAUGGGUUUAUGACGUCGAAUAUCGACGUCAUAAACACCAAAGUUAAUCGUGUUUAUGACGUCGAAUAUCGACGUCAUAAACACCAAAGUUGAUCGUGUUUAUGAUGUCGAAUAUCGACGUC